UAUCCCUACGGGGGGCAGCAGUGAGGAAUAUUGGUCAAUGGGCGCAGGCCUGAACCAGCCAAGUAGCGUGAAGGAUGACUGCCCUAUGGGUUGUAAACUUCUCUUAUAUGGGAAUAAAGUUUUCCACGUGUGGAAUUUUGUAUGUACCAUAUGAAUAAGGAUCGGCUAACUCCGUGCCAGCAGCCGCAGUAAUACGGAGGAUCCGAGCGUUAUCCAGAUUUAUUGGGAUUAAAGGAAGCGUAGGUGGCCAGUUAAGUC
rnacentral:rRNA from 1 species